rnacentral:lncRNA from 1 species
GCGUGUCGUCCCGUCCUGUGAAUCUAACAUGUCGACGGCAUCGGAGGAAUAUUAUGAGUGUAGUGACUUUGUAAAGUGACUCUGAGUCUGUCUGUGAUCUACUGGCCAACGAGCUACACUGGAGACCUGAGGGGGAAGAGACCCCACACCCUACACAGAAUACACACCCUACUGUAGAUACUACACAUAGUAUAGAUACUAAACAUACUGCAGUUAGCAUGGAGAAAGAAGAGGCUAAUAAUCAGCUAGCACAGCAGGCUAACAGUCAGCUAGCACAACAGGCUAACACUCAGCUAGCACAACAGGCUAACACUCAACUAGCACAACGGGCUAACACUCAACUAGCACAACAGGCUAACACUCAACUAGCACAAGAGAAACAGUAGUAUGCUAACGAUUUGCUAACACAGGAACUACAACAAUGUGACAGCCAGUAAACAGUUGAGGGCACAAGGGG